AGAAAGUGCUUAUUUUCAGCCUAAUCAUAUUAAUCCAAGCCUGUGGGUUGAUUUUUGCUCAGACACCGGCAGCCCUGGAGGCUUAUCCGGGAGUCUUACAGAGGGUGGCAGAAAAUGCAGAGAAGUCAAAGCUAAAGUCCAGAAUAUGGGGGCACUUGUUUUGGGCUUUGCUGAUGCUUACUAUGAAGAUCACAUCCAACCAGUGACUGACAGCUACGUCCAAUGGGUCUCAAA